AGCCGCGGCUGUAGGAGC
rnacentral:miRNA from 1 species